ACGAACGCUGGCGGCGUGCUUAACACCUGCAAGUCGAACGGAAAGGCCCUGCUUUUGUGGGGUGCUCGAGUGGCGAACGGGUGAGUAACACGUGAGUAACCUGCCCUUGACUUUGGGAUAACUUCAGGAAACUGGGGCUAAUACCGGAUAGGAGCUCCUGCUGCAUGGUGGGGGUUGGAAAGUUUCGGCGGUUGGGGAUGGACUCGCGGCUUACCAGCUUGUUGGUGGGGUAGUGGCUUACCAAGGCUUUGACGGGUAGCCGGCCUGAGAGGGUGACCGGCCACAUUGGGACUGAGAUACGGCCCAGACUCCUACGGGAGGCAGCAGUGGGGAAUAUUGCACAAUGGGCGGAAGCCUGAUGCAGCAACGCCGCGUGCGGGAUGACGGCCUUCGGGUUGUAAACCGCUUUCGCCUGUGACGAAGCGUGAGUGACGGUAAUGGGUAAAGAAGCACCGGCUAACUACGUG
rnacentral:rRNA from 1 species